AGUGAACGCUGGCGGUAGGCCUAACACAUGCAAGUCGAACGGCAGCACAGUAAGAGCUUGCUCUUACGGGUGGCGAGUGGCGGACGGGUGAGGAAUACAUCGGAAUCUACUUUUUCGUGGGGGAUAACGUAGGGAAACUUACGCUAAUACCGCAUACGACCUACGGGUGAAAGCAGUGGAUCUUCGGACCUUGCGCGAUUGAAUGAGCCGAUGUCGGAUUAGCUAGUUGGCGGGGUAAAGGCCCACCAAGUCGACGAUCCGUAGCUGGUCUGAGAGGAUGAUCAGCCACACUGGAACUGAGACACGGUCCAGACUCCUACGGGAGGCAGCAGUGGGGAAUAUUGGACAAUGGGCGCAAGCCUGAUCCAGCCAUACCGCGUGGGUGAAGAAGGCCUUCGGGUUGUAAAGCCCUUUUGUUGGGAAAGAAAGGCAGCAGGUUAAUACCCCGCUGUUCUGACGGUACCCAAAGAAUAAGCACCGGCUAACUUCGUG
rnacentral:rRNA from 1 species